rnacentral:ncRNA from 1 species
GUGUAGACCCGAAACCGGGUGACCUAUCCAUGGCCAGGUUGAAGCGAGAGUAAAAUCUCGUGGAGGACCGAACCACGUUGGUGUUGAAAAACCAUGGGAUGAGUUGUGGAUAGCGGAGAAAUUCCAAUCGAACUCGGAGAUAGCUGGUUCUCCCCGAAAUAGCUUUAGGGCUAGCGUCGUGUAAUUGAGUAAUGGUGGUAGAGCACUGAAUGGGCUAGGGGCUAUAGUAGUUACCGAACCCUAUCAAACUCCGAAUGCCAUAUACUUGUAUCACGGCAGUCAGACUGCGAAUGAUAAGAUCCGUAGUCAAAAGGGAAACAGCCCAGACCAUCAGCUAAGGUCCCACAGUGUAAGUUAAGUGGAAAAGGAUGUGGGAUUUCUAAGACAACUAGGAUGUUGGCUUAGAAGCAGCCACUCAUUUAAAGAGUGCGUAAUAGCUCACUAGUCAAGAGAUCCUGCGCCGAAGAUGUCCGGGGCUCAAACUUACCACCGAAGCUAUGGGUGUACACUAUGUGUACGCGGUAGGGGAGCUUGCUGUAUGGGUUGAAGUCGUACCGUAAGGAGUGGUGGACUGUACAGAAGUGAGAAUGCUGGCAUAAGUAGCGAGAAAUAAGUGAGAAUCUUAUUGGCCGAAAACCUAAGGUUUCCUGGGGAAGGCUCGUCCGCCCAGGGUUAGUCGGGACCUAAGCCGAGGCCGAAAGGCGUAGGUGAUGGACAAUCGGUUGAUAUUCCGAUACCACCUAUUUACGUUUGAGAGAUGGGGUGACGCAGUAGGAUAAGAUGUGCGC